rnacentral:lncRNA from 1 species
UGGGGGUGGAGAGAAAGGAGUGAUCUUUGAGGCUUUGAUCGGAGGGCGGGGAGGGGGGGAAUGGGCGGCGGCGAUCUCGGGAACGGCCGCGGCCGGUGGAAGAGGGAGGCGGAGGAGGAGCGGGCGGCGGCGGCGGUGGCGGCGGCGGUGGAGGAGAGAGAGUGGAGGGCGAAGAGGCUCUCCAUUCUAGAGAGAGAGAGAGAGAGGGAUUGAAUCUGUGAAGACUGGAGAGAUGAGUCUGUGUGCUUGUCUUGUAUCUGAUGUUCGUGCGGGGAAGGAGGGCCAACGGAUUUUCCAAAGUUAGAGAGAGAAAGAGAGAGAGAGAGAGAGGCG